CCUGGCUCAGGUUGAACGCUGGCGGCAUGCCUUACACAUGCAAGUCGAACGGCAGCACGGGUGCUUGCACCUGGUGGCGAGUGGCGAACGGGUGAGUAAUACAUCGGAACAUGUCCUGUAGUGGGGGAUAGCCCGGCGAAAGCCGGAUUAAUACCGCAUACGAUCUACGGAUGAAAGCGGGGGACCUUCGGGCCUCGCGCUAUAGGGUUGGCCGAUGGCUGAUUAGCUAGUUGGUGGGGUAAAGGCCUACCAAGGCGACGAUCAGUAGCUGGUCUGAGAGGACGACCAGCCACACUGGGACUGAGACACGGCCCAGACUCCUACGGGAGGCAGCAGUGGGGAAUUUUGGACAAUGGGCGAAAGCCUGACCAGCAAUGCCGCGUGUGUGAGAGGCCUUCGGGUUGUAAAGCACUUUUGUCCG
rnacentral:rRNA from 1 species